CGGCCUGAGGUCGGACGAGGCUACCCGCUGAAUUUAAGCAUAUUACUAAGCGGAGGAAAAGAAACUAACGAGGAUUCCCUCAGUAACGGCGAGUGAAGCGGGACGAGCCCAGCGCCGAAUCCGGCCGCUUAUGGAGCGGACGGAAUUGUGGCGUAUGGAAUUCGCUUCGAGCGCGGACCGGCUGCCCACGUCCUUCUGAUCGAGGCUUCAUCCCAUAGUCGGGUGUCAGGCCCUUGGCGGCGGCUGGCCCGGGCUCUCGGUGUCUUCCCCGGAGUCGGGUUGUUUGGGAAUGCA
rnacentral:ncRNA from 1 species